AGCGAACGCUGGCGGCAGGCCUAACACAUGCAAGUCGAACGAACCCUUCGGGGUUAGUGGCGGACGGGUGAGUAACACGUGGGAACGUGCCUUUAGGUUCGGAAUAACUCAGGGAAACUGGAAAUAAUACCGUAUGUGCCCGCAAGGGGAAAGAUUUAUCGCCAUUGGAGCGGCCCGCGUCUGAUUAGCUAGUUGGUGGGGUAAUGGCCCACCAAGGCGACGAUCAGUAGCUGGUCUGAGAGGAUGAUCAGCCACAUUGGGACUGAGACACGGCCCAAACUCCUACGGGAGGCAGCAGUGGGGAAUCUUGCGCAAUGGGCGAAAGCCUGACGCAGCCAUGCCGCGUGAAUGAUGAAGGUCUUAGGAUUGUAAAAUUCUUUCACCGGGGACGAUAAUGACGGUACCCGGAGAAGAAGCCCCGGCUAACUUCGUGCCAGCCGCCGCCGUAAAAC
rnacentral:rRNA from 1 species